GCCCUCCCGCCUUGAUCAGUUAUUCAACAAAAAAGUGCGACGCCACUGCGACCUAAUGUGUCAAUAGGCAAACAUAGACCUGGCUAGCCCGCUUUACCAGACUAAGCAAUACAACAUACACAUUGUUUAUACGCUGCAUUUUAAGCCUGUUUUCCACUAGGUGAAUUUGUUCGCGCGAAAAACAAAUUUCGGCAAUGUGAUUGGUCAGUGAGAAAAUUCGCCGCGAAAACCUGUUCGUUUACUGAAACACAAAAACGGCAUUCUGAUGUUAGUUUGUGUCUCUUUUAACGUUAUUUGUUUACAUUUUUGAUACAAAAACUGUGCGUCUGCUAUUUUUCAGCCCAGUUUGGUGGGAUGAAACGAUUACAUGGAACAUUUCAUUCCGGCAACCCGAACACGCUUGCGACAAGCGAGACAUCGGUAAAGCGGGCUGGCCCGGCUGCCAUGUAAUCGAAACUCAAAAUUUAUAUAAGAUUAUUAUAGUGAGUGAGCUGGUCCGGUAAACCUGGCUAGGUCGGUAAAGGGAGCUAGCCUGGUCCAGGCUUUUAGCCAGGGUGUCAAAACUGGCCGCCCAAAAAAUACCGUGGGUGUUGCAACCAAUUUUCGUGGACGUGGCCAAAAACAUGGCGCUUGCAGAAAUUAAUUUUCACAUACUCAUAAUUCAGCAUCUUUUCUUAUACAGUAGAUAAAGUAAACCGCAGCUGACAACUUUUGAGGCAUUCAAGAACUACCACAAUGUUUGUGACUUGCUGUUUAAAGACAACAACUUCUUAUAGGCCCUAUGUAAUGACCGUCUAUAAAAAGUGGCCGUGUUACUUUAAAAGUGGCCGUCCAAAGGACGGUUGGACGGUCGCCUGGCAAAAUGCCUUAGCCCGGUCCAUGUAAUCGGCCCCUAAUAUUAUUUGAUACAUUUUAAACAUACGCAAGUCAUCCACAGUUCAUUCCACAACUAUAUAUUGAAUAUGUCUACUAGCCAUUCUCUAACGUUCUUUCGAUAAAUCUCUUUAUAGAUAAUAGCAUGGUUUUUAUUGCAUGGGGAAUGUACCAUUCCCCAAAAUUUUGAACUCAAAAAGUCUAGACAAAAAUUUUAUCA
rnacentral:lncRNA from 1 species